CACAAUUUGCAACUCCUUUUUAGCCAAUCAAGUAUUCAAACUCAAUAACAUUUUUAUGAUAUUUUUUUUCUUUUCAGAUUUAGGUGUCGUUGUUGAUCAGUUUCUUGAAAGCAAUGGGUUUCUUAAAUUCCAUAUAGAAUUCAGGAAACCGUCGUAUACAUAGAAAAAAAGAAUAUCAAGAAAAGGAAGCAUCCUAGAAACUGCCAGCAAAUUUCUUUGCAAGAGCGAUUUCAAAGAAGUAUCUAAUCUAUAUGAGACAGCAGUACAUUCUGUUGAAUUGUUCUAUAAAGAUCAUUUCUUCUUCAUUUGGUGUAUAUAAAGCAGAAGAGGAGCUCGAUGCUUGAGCACUACUAAAAGAUCUCAGAAAAAAUGAGUAGUAUUGUUUCAGAAGUUUUUGUAGGACUAGGUGAUUGCAUAUCAAUCCUAUGGGCAUUGCAAGAGAAGAGGUAUUUCUCUGUGUUUGAAGCUGUAACUGGUAGUACGAGAUCUUUGUUUAGGAUUCUUGCAGCUUGUACAAUUAAAUUGAGAAGAUCAAGAAGAAGAGUGGGAGUUUUGUGAUCGGUUUUUGCACAAACCAUUUUUUGUUAAAUUUUUUGGAUCUUACCUGUGUAACAACACCAUAAUCAAUCAAAAAACAUUCAUAUUCUUUGCUUAUAUUCUGGGUACUUUCAUUUUCAUUUCCAUAAUACUGGGUGCAGUCUGUCUGCACAUUUUGAUCCAUCAUCUAUGGAGUCUUGUUACGAAUUCUGUCUUGUUAUUUAAAUUCAUCGAUCGAACUCUUCAAAGCCAGUUCAGAUUUAAGACGUCGUGCCGGGAACAUUUUUGGUAUAAUAAUGUGAUCAGAAAAAAUUUGUUCUGUUGAAAAUCAAAACAAGAGUCUUGCUGAAAAAAAAAAAAAUCAAAACAAGAGUCUUGCUGAAAAAAAAAUAAUCAAAAGACACGCAAAAAGUGCGUCUGCCGGGAGUCGAACCCGGGUCUAUUGCUUGGAAGGCAAUUAUCCUAACCGUUGGACUACAAACGCUUUGUUGCUGUGAGAGCCUUAAUUUGUGAAUAUACUAAUUAUUUAUUGGAGAAGUAAAAAGUUAAUUGAGCUCCUUAGUCUUGGAGUCCUUGCACCUCCUCAGAACAGAACGCCUCUUUUUCCAACACGAGAAAGAUCUAACAAAACUCUAGAAUACAACAACUGCUGAUUUCGAACUCUCUUGAUAGUUAUUCCAGAUUUCGGAGCAAUGUCAGUCAUUAUCAAAGUCUUCCUGAAGGGAUUCAGGUGGAUAUCUUUCUAAGGUUACCAGUGAAUUCGAUCUUAGUCUCUACAUGCAAAAAUUGAACUCACUGGUGACUAGUAGCCUUAGAAGCCUCAUCUCCAUUAAAUCGGGUACUCAUGUGGAGAAAAUACAAGCAGCAAAGUGAUCAAUUGAAUCUAUCAAUAUUGAGGUUAACUUUCUGCCUGAAACUAUCCAGUGGAUGUAUUCUGCUAUGGCUCACCAGGAACCUGUUUCCGUUGGAUAGUCGCUGUUUGAUUGCCCCUUGCCCCAAGGCUUCCCAUCCUUUUACACCAUUGUUGAAUUCAGGAUUGACUAUAAUCCCUCCUUUAUAGUGAGGUUUCUCAGGCUCUGCCAAGCACUAAUAGAGUAGAUGAUGGACAAAGGAAAAACAGAUGGAAUUUAAUCAGUAAAUAGUGUAUAAGCAGUGAAACGGAGCAGAGAAUGCAAGAAUUUGUAGUACAUGACUUACUCAUGUGGUUGCUGCUUUGUUUUCUGUAAUAAGCUAUGUAAGCCUGCAAAGCGUAUGAGACCAUAAGGGUUUGUGGUGCUGACGUUUCUGGCGCUGUUACUUUGAAGCUCUGAGUCAAUGUGGAAUUCAUAAAUGGGUGACUAAUCGUUACAUCAUAGUCCCCGUGGAAAAGCGAAGUCUUGAAGUUACC